GACGAACGCUGGCGGCGCGCCUAACACAUGCAAGUCGAACGAGCGAGAGAGAGCUUGCUUUCUCGAGCGAGUGGCGAACGGGUGAGUAACGCGUGAGGAACCUGCCUCAAAGAGGGGGACAACAGUUGGAAACGACUGCUAAUACCGCAUAAGCCCACGACCCGGCAUCGGGUAGAGGGAAAAGGAGCAAUCCGCUUUGAGAUGGCCUCGCGUCCGAUUAGCUAGUUGGUGAGGUAACGGCCCACCAAGGCGACGAUCGGUAGCCGGACUGAGAGGUUGAACGGCCACAUUGGGACUGAGGCACGGCCCAGACUCCUACGGGAGGCAGCAGUGGGGAAUAUUGCACAAUGGGGGAAACCCUGAUGCAGCGACGCCGCGUGGAGGAAGAAGGUCUUCGGAUUGUAAACUCCUGUUGUUGAGGAAGAUAAUGACGGUACUCAACAAGGAAGUGACGGCUAACUACGUG
rnacentral:rRNA from 1 species